rnacentral:misc_RNA from 1 species
AACAUUUCUCCUGCUGACCAGCAACUAUAUUGGGACUAUAGUCUCCUCCAUUGAGAGCUAGUCAUCUCUUGUGGUGCAAUAAUUAGGACACAGUGACCAAGAGGCUUGCCCUAGAUUUGUCCAUGUUGUCCAGGGAAACAUUUUCUUACAACAUUUUUAUUUCAGGGCAUAGCUGGAGACUUGUAUGGCCUCGUAAUUAAGAUUCCUAUCACUUUCUCAUUCCAGAUUAUUUUUCCAACCAGCAAAGGCCACAAUAACGAAACCUGCAUCCUUUCAGUCAGUACCCUCCACCCAUUAACUUCUAUAGUUGUCAUGUCAAGAAUAUAGAAAGUCUAGUAGUCUAGUUUCAGUAGCACUGACAUCGUUGACAAUAAGGAUGUGUGAGAGGGAAACUUUUCUGUUUCGUGAGGAUGAUAAAAUGCCAACCGAAACAUCUCACCGGAUGUGAGUGAAUUAAGAAUAUUGUGAAUCUUCUAGCAUGAAAGUAGAGAAAGAGAGAAUUUCAUAACUUCACUGACAGCUGUCACAUCCCAAGUUGCAACAAUGUUCACAAGUUGCACACAUUCUUUUGGAAACAUUAACAUGUUGAUGAUGGGUAUCUCCUUAUUUUGGUUUAGUUUAGCCCCAGCAGAAGGUGUAAACAUCCAACCGUGUAAUGAUGACGGCUUCGUAGAAGUACUGGCAGGACAAAAGACUCUGAUUACAUGCAGGGCUGAAGGACGAGUGGUGUGGAGACUUACAGUUGGGUUACAUAAUUUUAGCCAGUACUUCCCGUUGGCAGAAUGUACAGAACACGUUUGUAAUAGUUCGGGAUACUUUACCGAAAUAUUUCAAGCGAAAGUUCUAGACCCUCACAAUAAAACGAUUUCCAUUAACGCUGGGAACACAUCCAUCAGUAGUAAUAUUAUACUUGUCAACAGUAUUCUGGAAUGUGUUCAUAAUGCUGGAACUUUCAACGCAGAAUCAUCUACCUGUGUGAUCAACUAUGUUUUUCCAUCAGAAAAUGUGUCAUGCAACGCAGUCACAACCUCUUGGAAUGUCCACGUGUCAUGUGUCAUCGGCAGUGUGUUCUCUUCGAGGAAAAUGUACGAGUGUCACCUUUAUCGUCUUAAAAGCUCGAUGGAGAGCUUGCAGUCUGUGACCAUGGUGACGUCACCAACCAAAGAGAGGGUCACGACAGGUGAAGUGAAGGUGUCAGGCUCCUGUCAGUUCAUCUUAACACUUUCAGAAGAAGCAGACUUCUUUGUGGCUGUCUCACCAGGCGACCGUAGCUACUCUGUCAAAUUUCCAGCUCAUGACAAAAAGAUAGAUGAAACUAAAGGUAAUAUUCUACUUGCCGCAAUACGUUUCUAAGUUUAGCAUUUAAAAAGAAAAAGUGUACAGGGUUGUACGAAUUACAACCUGUUUCGCUCACGAGACAGUCAAAGCUUGAACGAAAAAAAGUGAAGCCCCGAUUAGAUCCCAUUUACUUGGAAUACGAAACUAUAUUAGACCAAUAAAAAUAAAAAUUUAUGAGCUAUUAUAUACUUUUCAACCUCACGUUUAUGCUAAUCACCAAAACCUCUUAAAUUACAACAGAAAAAAAAACAAUUUGUUAAUGUCUUGAAAACAAAGACUGAGCUUAGUAAUUAAUAAUUCUGAAUAUGAGAAAAAAGAGAAUAGAAUUAAAUAGUGUUUAAUGACUACAUUUACUCUCAAGAGACUGUUUUGGGUUAGAGGUAAUUCUGUUUUUGUGCUUAGUACAAACGGCCUAUAUGACUAUAUGGCUAUCAUAAAGAUAACAAUUUAAAGUUGCUAUUUCCUACUCAAACAGCGGGGAAGGUUUCCUAAUUUCCGUGUUUAAAGCAACAUAAGUACUUGCCUGCUGAUCAAGAUCAUAAACCAAUUUAAGUUUCGUUCGCUACGAUUGGUGGAUUCGUAAGUCCUGUGCUAAAUAAUACAGGACUUACAUGUCCAAAAAAAAAGGGAAACAUUUCUAGAGAGCAGCAAAGAAUGUGUUGACACAGUCCUCCCAAGAUGCUCUCUACACAAGUCACGGCCCUGAGCUUCAGGGAAAGGUUAAUGUAGUUCUUCUACAUUUUAACUACGAGACUGUGACAGCUGGAAGCUCUCAAGAUUCACUGAGAACCAUUGUAACAGCUGGAAGCGAGAAUGAACAACAUCGACAACAAGCUGAGUGAAAACUCGUACUUAGCUGCUGAUGACAAAUUGAGCUGUCUGCAAAGAGCUGGUCACGUGACAUCAGUACCAAGGAGAGGCAUUAUACCAGGUUGUCAGAGGUUUUUUGACAUGAUGGCUCGGAAUGAUCAAGUUUCGAAGCACAAGAACAGAACUGAACGUUGGUAUCCUACCCUGUACCACACCAAAGCUGAGACUGGUUUGUAUGCCCAACAAUAAACGGCAGUAAAGAAGUUGGACGUUUAGAUAUCAUGGAUAUCUGUGAUGAUGUAGAACUUUGUUUCACUCAGUAAAUGACUCACGUGGAAGGAAAAACAAUUAGUAUUGUAGUCUGACUAUGUGGGGCAAUGCCAAUGAAAACAUUAUAAACUUUAUCCAUGACCAAUGAAACGCUCACACAUCUAGAAACAUUUCUAUUUUACACCAAUUUUGCACAGAGUCUUUCAAGUCAAUUUUUAUAUCAAAAGUGUACAGCAAGAAAAAAACUCACUCAAAAACAACAAUAAAAAACAACAAAAUAACAAUUAAACAGUCUCCAUAUAAACAUAAUAUUUUUUUCCUUGUACACAACCUUUGAUUGGACUGAGAUGUCGUGAUAUUUUAUGAAUCUAUUUCAAAAUGUUAUAUUCGUAAUUGCGGACAUUUUUUAAAAUUUAUUCCUUAGAUUGUAACGGGUUUUCUUGGCUUCAAAAGCCGUUGUGUGGAGGUAAAAGGACGCUACAUCAUUAAAUCAAAAUAAAUCUUGUUAACGUUUAACUGUGGCUUGCUAACUACUAAUGAAUAUUAAGCAGCACUUUGUGAACUUCAAGGAAGUUAAAGUGGGUUUAUUGUUUAGAGAAACUGCUCAUUUUGAAAUAAUUGAAAUCUGACUUCUGGUAAAUAGGCGUAAGUGCUUAUGAGAGGUGAACAGGCGGAAUACUCUACUCAUAAAUAAACGACAUUACAUGAACUUAAAAUGUUAUUCAGAAACUCAUCACACAUAGAGAUGAACCUGGUUUUUUUUUAGGAACCCUUCUUUAUGACAAGGGUUAAGUUAGCUUGAAAGGGAAGUUAACUUAUUGUCCAUUAUUUCGGUUUCAAGAACAAGGUUUGUCGAUAUUCUGUGAACUAUAAACUAUAAAUUCUAUAAACUAUAUUUCUCCACAUAAGUAGUCUCAGGGGAAGAGGGCUGAUUUCUCCUGAUAAUUUUAGUCGAUUGUGAAAUUUCACGGUGGACAUCAAUAUUCCUUAACAAACUUCUGUAUAUGAGUUUGAUUAUCUUCCUCAUUAGAUUGUUGGAUGGUAUUACUGGGUUACUAAUUUGCUUCCUAGUUUUUGAGGUUUGCAGCACGCCAUGAUCUCUAUACAGGAUCCAAGUUUUCCUAAUAUUUCGCUAAGGUUUUUAAGGUAUUACAUUACUGAGCGAUGUAGGUUCUUCUAAAUUUCUAUAAUGAAAGUUCAUUUGCAAUCUAUGCGAGAUUUUACGCUUGUGUUAGUCAUUUUAACAUUGGGAGGUAUUAUGUCCUACCCGUAUUAAAUGGAAUAAAGAUGAUGUUCUUACAUAUGAGUAAGAACAUACAAAAACUAUUUUACACAUGAGUAAAAACAGAAGUGGACUAUUGUUCUUACAUUUCUGAUCUUCCAAUGGGCAUUUUACAUCACGAAAGAAGCCACAAGUUCUAUGGAGCAUUGGCUAUAUGCACGUCAUCAUAACAAAUCCUCAUCGUCAAACUUUACCAUUCCUUUUCUGAGCUAAAUUAUAGGAAGAUAUUAUCAGUGUCUUUCGUGGUCUUAUUCUAAUCCUGUUUAGAGAUAUGUUCACAGAUAAUCCCUUUUCUUGAAAAGGCUUAGCCCAUCUAAAACGGAUGAGCAAACUCUUACAGUUGAUCUUAAGGAGUUUACCCGCCAGUCCAUUCGUUGAUCACGUGACAAACAGUUUCUGAGCUGGUGUCCUUCAGUUAAGUUUUAUUAUGUACCUUCCAAUAAAAUGUCAAUGACAAAUCAUUUUUUCUUAAUCUAGAUAUAAUUUUUUUCUUUACAUAUUUUCUGCUUUUAUUGCCGGCAUUGUCAGAGCCCUCUUUUUCGGAAACUUUGAUCGCAGUUUUUGAACACCUUUUGCCCUUGUUACUUUAACCUUUUAAUCUCAUACAAAGGGUUCAAAAGCUAUUAGCAGCAGGUGCUUGGUGCUUCCUUCAAAUCCCAAAAGAGCCGAGAUUUUCGUAAACCUGCACACGGAACAGUUCUGAUUUCGAAAAAAAAUUCACACUGAAUCCAAAUUACAUUGAUUAAUAAAGGUUCCGGAGCAAAACGGCUACAAUUUGGUUUCAGUACAGGGUUUGGAGAAGACGACAAUGGCCGUGACAAGUUAAUGAUUAGACUUUGGUGAUAAAUGCAAUAUACAAGUAUUAAUAUCUUGUUAUAUUUCCACAAGAGGCAUAAAGACUUAUGAGGGUAGAGAUAUGAACCUCAUUACUCAACCAAUAAUUUGAUAUUAGACCUACCUCUUCAUAUCUUUGAUUUUCGUGAGAGGUGAUUUUUGACUUUCAGUAAAUUUCGUAAUUUUUCGCCAAAUUUGUCACCAUUUCUUUUCCUUACCUGCUAUGUUUGUCGUAUUGGAAUGUAAGCUCUCGACAUUUUAACACAAUAUAUUUGAAAGAAACUAUAUUCUUUUGAAAACGUAGCACGCUUGUUGAUUUUUUUCUGUUAAUACAGAUUUUGUUGUGCUAAGUGAUGGGAAACACAUACAUAAUUUCCCAUUGGCAUUGGCACUCUCAGCUCUGUAGCAAGCUGGCAUUAGAUUAUUCUUGGUGUCCACCUUGCACACCUAAGCACGAUAGCCGUGAGCUUUACCUCUGACCUUAUCCACAACAGCGUAUGCUACUUCAUCUUCUGGUGGGAGUUUUGGCUCAGCAUCUAAACAUCACAAUUUACUUGUCUGAGCUCCGAAAAAACUGAUUCCUAAUGUAGAUUCCCUUUAAUCACCUUCCCUUAACCUUUAAAGUUAAGGCAUCCUGUAUUUUCUUCUUUCAUUUUCCGAUGUGUCACGUGGUAAAGUAUCUCACCUGCUGAGUGAGGAGCUUGAUUCACUCAGUAGAGUGCAAGGUGGGAUACAUUCGUUGCUUUUGGUACUUCAACUGUAAUCUGGGAAAUACUGCUUUUCCCGUCAGGUGACCAAUAUUAUAUAACUGCUUUGCUCAAAAUAUUUAUUUAUAACAUGGGAGAUACUUACUAUGUAUCUUGAGCGCUGAAAGCAUGCUUUUUUGGUAAGAGUGAUAAUGCACUUUAUAAUUAUUAUUACUAUUAUUAUUAUUAGUAGUAGUAGUAGUAGUUAUUAUUAUUAUCAUUAAACUGUGCAAAGCAGUUUCAACAAGAUGAAGAAGCAAAUUUGGAGUUUGAUCUUCAAUUAAAUCAUAAACCGUCUAAAAUGUCAAAUAACAAGAAAUGACAUAAAUAAAUAAAUAAAUAUACGACAGCUUGCUGUAAAUCUUCGAUAGAAGAUAAUGUUCAUACAAACUCAUGGUCGAGGAUUCAACAGUUGACAUACUAAGCACAACAAAGCAGAGAUUAUAAUUAUGCAUUUUUGCGUUUGUUUAACAAAUGUAGGAUCUGAUUAACAACAGUCUAUGAUACAAUAGUAUGUGCUUGCAUGAAAUCAUUGGUUUGCAAGACAUUGGGCUAUAAAGUAUCUACUCAUUGGCUGAUAAUGCCCAUGAGAGGAGUUGUUCUGAUAUCGACUGUUUCGGUGUUUGUAUUCGGCAUCUCUCUCAACUUAACGGUAUCUUUGCAUGACUUUAGUGCUGCAUAGACAGACAUCUUCAAAGAUCACACCGUGAGAAUAUUUAUAUAGUAUCUACACUGUUGGCUUCAGAUUAAUUAAACAGCCUUAAACACUCCUACCACGCACGUGCACACACACACACAGAUUAAAGCUUUUCGAGACAAUCUCGAUUGCAUGAACAUUUCCAGAUCGUCUAAACAUUGAAACUGAUAUCGUAUACCGGACCUCUACAACUAAAAUAUACUUAUUUUUUAGAGAUGGAUAUUCGGUGCAGUUUACAAUCAUGAAAUUGUAACAAAUCACCAAUUUGUGUCCUACAUGAUGCGAGAGUUUUUUGUUAUUCACAAAUAAGGUUUGCAAUCAGUGCAUUUGACAGGGAGCUCAACCUUGUUGCUCUUAAUUAUUAACAAAGCCUCCAGGGAUGAGAUGUUUUUGUUAAAUAAGCAUAGUGUUGCAUGUGUUGUACGAAUACUCUGAUUAGAUUUCAGAGCUUAAUUUUUCUAUUGAAUUUUUUGUCAUCUGCAGUUUGAUGUGCUUGUGUAUACAUGCCCAUUACAUGAUCAGCAGCUUGACUUUAAAUAAUCAAGGUGCUUUUAAUUUUAAAAAA